rnacentral:rRNA from 1 species
AGUGAACGCUGGCGGUAGGCCUAACACAUGCAAGUCGAACGGCAGCACAGUAAGAGCUUGCUCUUACGGGUGGCGAGUGGCGGACGAGUGAGGAAUACAUCGGAAUCUACUUUUUCGUGGGGGAUAACGUAGGGAAACUUACGCUAAUACCGCAUACGACCUACGGGUGAAAGCAGGGGAUCUUCGGACCUUGCGCGAUUGAAUGAGCCGAUGUCGGAUUAGCUAGUUGGCGGGGUAAAGGCCCACCAAGGCGACGAUCCGUAGCUGGUCUGAGAGGAUGAUCAGCCACACUGGAACUGAGACACGGUCCAGACUCCUACGGGAGGCAGCAGUGGGGAAUAUUGGACAAUGGGCGCAAGCCUGAUCCAGCCAUACCGCGUGGGUGAAGAAGGCCUUCGGGUUGUAAAGCCCUUUUGUUUGGAAAGAAAAGCAGCAGGUUAAUACCCCGCUGUUCUGACGGUACCCAAAGAAUAAGCACCGGCUAACUUCGUG